CUAUGAAGCUUUUCCUAUGUCUCCCUCCCCAUCAGGUUAUUGUGCUCAGAUAUGUGGCUGUGAUCAGGAAGAUUUGGCCACCAUGGUUCACACCUCCUAUCUGCCAGCUCUGAGAACCGCUUCCACUGGAUGUUUAGGGAAAGGUGGCAGCCCUAUCUGCUGCAGAUCAAAUCACCAGCAAGGCUCCCAGAGGACUAUGGACUAUGGAAGACUGACUGAGCGGAACUCGGACCAGCUUCAGUGGCGGUCUUUAAAGGUCAACUGUGAGUAAAAUUACUGGGAAGUUGAAACACUCCAAGUCAGCUACCAAAUGGACACCACAACAGGUCACGCUGGAGUGCAUAUGGUAUAAAAGAGGCCAAGGCUCUGUGGCAUUUAGCGAAUACCAGGAUAUUAAAGUUUGGUGGA